GACGGAGGAUGCAAGUGUUAUCCGGAAUCACUGGGCGUAAAGCGUCUGUAGGUGGUCAAAUAAGUCAACUGUUAAAUCUUGAGGCUCAACCUCAAAACCGCAGUCGAAACUAUUAGACUAGAGUAUAGUAGGGGUAAAGGGAAUUUCCAGUGGAGCGGUGAAAUGCGUAGAGAUUGGAAAGAACACCGAUGGCGAAGGCACUUUACUGGGCUAUUACUAACACUCAGAGACGAAAGCUAGGUAGCAAAUGGG
rnacentral:rRNA from 1 species